AACAUCCCUGAGAGCCAAUGUCCAGCAUCCAGCAUGCUGCUCACCUGCAGCAGCUUUCACCUGUAAUUAAUGCGGAGCUCAUGUUAUAUUAUUUUAUUUCACAAACAACUGCAUCAUGACCAUGAGAUAAAAAUGUAAGCUUUGAACAGUCCUUCCCUCCUGCUUCAUUUCUGACCAACUAGCAAACAAAAUCAUUGGUGUGAUUCAUCCUUUUGAUGUUGGAUGUCAAAUCUAGAGCUUCACUCACUUUAGUGCAAAAAAUAUAGAUGAGUAUCAACUGGCCCCAUCAUCAAU